rnacentral:rRNA from 1 species
AUUGAACGCUGGCGGCAUGCCUUACACAUGCAAGUCGAACGGCAGCACGGGAGCAAUCCUGGUGGCGAGUGGCGAACGGGUGAGUAAAGUAUCGGAACGUGCCCAGUCGUGGGGGAUGACGUAGCGAAAGUUACGCUAAUACCGCAUACGAUCUAUGGAUGAAAGCGGGGGAUCGCAAGACCUCGCGCGAUUGGAGCGGCCGAUAUCAGAUUAGGUAGUUGGUGGGGUAAAGGCUCACCAAGCCGACGAUCUGUAGCUGGUCUGAGAGGACGACCAGCCACACUGGGACUGAGACACGGCCCAGACUCCUACGGGAGGCAGCAGUGGGGAAUUUUGGACAAUGGGCGAAAGCCUGAUCCAGCCAUGCCGCGUGCAGGAUGAAGGCCCUCGGGUUGUAAACUGCUUUUGUACGGAACGAAAAGGUUUGGCCUAAUAAGCUGAGCUCAUGACGGUACCGUAAGAAUAAGCACCGGCUAACUACGUGCCAGCAGCCGCCGUAA